ACGGGCGGUGUGUACAAGACCCGGGAACGUAUUCACCGCGGCAUUCUGAUCCGCGAUUACUAGCGAUUCCAGCUUCAUGUAGUCGAGUUGCAGACUACAAUCCGAACUGAGACGUUAUUUUUGGGAUUCGCUCCGGAUCACUCCCUCGCUUCCCUUUGUUUACGCCAUUGUAGCACGUGUGUAGCCCAAAUCAUAAGGGGCAUGAUGAUUUGACGUCAUCCCCACCUUCCUCCAGGUUAUCCCUGGCAGUCUCUCUAGAGUGCCCACCUUAAAUGCUGGCUACUAAAGAUAGGGGUUGCGCUCGUUGCGGGACUUAACCCAACAUCUGACGACACGAGCUGACGACAACCAUGCACCACCUGUCUAUGACGCCCCGAAGGGAUGGGAACGUUACUUGCCUGUCGAGACGAUG
rnacentral:rRNA from 1 species